GACGAACGCUGGCGGCGUGCUUAACACAUGCAAGUCGAACGGUGAAGCGCCUUCCUUUUUGGUGGGUGUGGAUGAGUGGCGAACGGGUGAGUAACACGUGAGUAACCUGCCCCCUUCUUCUGGAUAACCGCAUGAAAGUGUGGCUAAUACGGGAUAUUCUGGGUCUGUCGCAUGAUGGGUCUGGGAAAGAUAUUGUUUCGGUGGGGGAUGGGCUCGCGGCCUAUCAGCUUGUUGGUGGGGUGAUGGCCUACCAAGGCGGUGACGGGUAGCCGGCCUGAGAGGGUGGACGGUCACACUGGGACUGAGACACGGCCCAGACUCCUACGGGAGGCAGCAGUGGGGAAUAUUGGACAAUGGGCGCAAGCCUGAUGCAGCGACGCCGCGUGAGGGAUGGAGGCCUUCGGGUUGUGAACCUCUUUCGCCAGUGAAGCAGGCCUGCCUCGUUUGUGGGUGGGUUGACGGUAGCUGGAUAAGAAGCGCCGGCUAACUACGUG
rnacentral:rRNA from 1 species